AAAAGCUCGGCAUUUGUCUCGGGAGAGCCAUUCCUCAUCUGCCUUAUCUGUUCCCGAGAACCUCGAUAGUACACUCGGCUGUGUGACCACAUGAGGUCAGUGUUCAACGUGGCCCAUGGACCAGUCCAGCCAGUCACCUGUUUUUGCAUGGCCCAUGAGCUAAGAAUGGCUUUUCCAUUUCUAAAUAGUUGGAAAAAAUCAAAAGAAGAAUCAUAUUUCAUGAUGUGGGAAAAUUAUAUGAUAUCCACAUUUCAGUGUCCAUAAAUAAAGUUUUAUUGAGAUAUGCUCAUCUAUUUA